UGACUACACUGACUGGCAGUGUUCUGUCCUGACUACACUGACUGGCAGUGUUCUGUCCUGACUACACUGACUGGCAGUGUUCUGUUCUGACUACACUGACUGGUGUGUUCUGUCCUGACUACACUGACUGGCAGUGUUCUGUUCUGACUACACUGACUGGUGUGUUCUGUUCUGACUACACUGACUGGCAGUGUUCUGUUCUGACUACACUGACUGGCAGUGUUCUGUUCUGACUACACUGACUGGCAGUGUUCUGUUCUGACUACACUGACUGGCAGUGUUCUGUUCUGACUACACUGACUGGCAGUGUUCUGUUCUGACUACACUGACUGGCAGUGUUGCUGUUUUUAUACGGUUGCGAAUAUCAGCUGAAUCAUGUCAAUCAUAAAUUGUCUAAGUGAAAAGUGGUGUGUGUUUUCCGUUUUAAAGAGAGAUGAUGGAGGUAAUAUUGAAUGAAUAACCCCUAAUUGCUAUUCUGAAGGUCAUAUGAGAGGUAUGUUUGUGCAGCAGGAGAUGGCCUGGGUUCCAUUUUGUGUCCUCAAAGACUCUCUUAAUCCCCACAAUGCAAUGCCUAGAAAGAGAGUACUAUUCUCCAACUGGACAGUGGGUUUGUAGAAAUGUAACAAUUUCCAGAGGGAAGACGCGUCCCAAACACCACCCUACUCCCUAUGGGCUCUGGCCGAGGGUGGUUCAAAUCCCAUUGUAUUGGUCACAUACACGUGUUUAGCCGAUGUGUGUGUAGCUAAAUGCUUGUGGGCUGAAUAGGGUACUGUUUGAGACGUGGCCUUCUCUGUUGUUUUUAAAGGGGACUGUGAGAAAGCAAACCCUCUACUGUUCUUAAGCUGACUGUGUGUGUGACAGUUUUAAAUAAGGACUGGUUGUUUGUCCAUUGGGAUGGGAUGGGGGGUGAUGGGAUGGGGGGGGUCUUCUCUGCUAGUCAGUCUGUUUCUCCAUCACCUCGUCUCUCUUCAGCCUCCCCUUCUGCUGUUGCUGUUCUGGGGCUGACAGCUGUGAACCACUUUCAUGUAGCAGUUAUUUUUGUUUGUUGUUGAACUUGUUGGUCAGUUAAAUGUGUGUUGGGGGGGGGGGGGUCUGCUUUAAAACACCUAUUUCAACCUAUGCUUUCAAUCCACCACAAUCUCUAACUUUUUUUUAUUUUUUAUCAAUCAAUAUUUGAAAAUGUUUUUAAUGUAGUGAAACUACGUUUCUAAGAAAAAGUGAUCUGAUAAUUGUCAGAGGGCAAAGUCGGGUUUGGUGCCAGAGGGCAAAGUCGGGUUUGGUGCCAGAGGGCAAAGUCGGGUUUGGUGCCAGAGGGCAAAGUCGGGUUUGGUGCCAGAGGGCAAAGUCGGGUUUGGUGCCAGAGGGCAAAGUCGGGUUUGGUGCCAGAGGGCAAAGUCGGGUUUGGUGCCAGAGGGCAAAGUCUGGUUUGGUGCCAGAGGGCAAAGUCUGGUUUGGUGCCAGAGGGCAAAGUCUGGUUUGGUGCCAGAGGGCAAAGUCUGGUUUGGUGCCAGAGGGCAAAGUCUGGUUUGGUGCCAGAGGGCAAAGUCUGGUUUGGUGCCAGAGGGCAAAGUCUGGUUUGGUGCCAGAGGGCAAAGUCUGGUUUGGUGCCAGAGGGCAAAGUCUGGUUUGGUGCCAGAGGGCAAAGUCUGGUUUGGUGCCAGAGGGCAAAGUCUGGUUUGGUGCCAGAGGGCAAAGUCUGGUUUGGUGCCAGAGGGCAAAGUCGGGUUUGGUGCCAGAGGGCAAAGUCGGGUUUGGUGCCAGAGGGCAAAGUCGGGUUUGGUGCCAGAGAACAAAGCCGGGUUUGGUGUCAGAGGGCAAAGCCGGGUUUGGUGGAUGUACAGUAGACUAUCGACCAAUGCUACGGUUCUCUCUCUUCUGGUUGUCCUAUUGGUUAGUUCAGGAAGAGGGCCAACCCACUGGUCAUAUCAUUCAGUGUAGUACCGCCUCAGGGUGCUGUAGGCCUUUUCUGUAGUCUGGGUUAAAGGGGGUUUAGUGGUAGCCUGUUCCUAGAUCAGUUUGUGCUGUCUUGUCAACUUUAUCCCUCAAGGCAUUAUAAUGAGUGACAAGGAGUUGGCAAGAGGGUACAACCAGAUCUGGGACCAGACUAGUUUAGUGGUGGGUCUGUCUUCUGUUGUCAUGUAUAUAGGAUGUACCUAGUACUCACGGUGAAAUAUCAUGUCUGCAUUAGGAGCUGGUAGCAGUUCCGGGAUCAGAUGUAUUGUUUUCCUCCUAAUGGUUAAGGUUAGGAGUUAGUUGUAUAACCUGAUCCUAGAUCUGUGGUUAGGGUUAAGUUCAACCUCCAGCUCUGUAUUAGCCACUGUGUGUAGUAUGAUGAUGAUGAAGGUAGUGUAUGGGGGGGGGGGUUGAAUGCUUUACUCCAUUGUAGUUUUGGGUAAGUUAGUUUUAAACCCUCGAACCGACCGGCUGAUGGUCUCAAAAAAAGAAACUCCCACCUCAUUCUCUUCAGUGUGGGAUUGUGGGUAAUGACGAUAAAGGUACACUUGUGUUAAGUACAGUUCUUUACGUGGGAUCUCUGGUUUCUAUCUGGGUAUGUCAUGUCUCUUUUUAUUUCCUUCUUGUUUUGUGUUUGCAUUUCUACGUGGGGAUGGACUCCGGAACCUUGCGUUGGUUCCCACAAUGCAUCACUCACUGAGUCAUGGGAAGUCUUGUCGUCAGUUUUGCUCAUCAUUUGUAAUGCCACUGUAUUUGUGUAUUUUAAAAUUGUGUAAAUAAAUGAAUAAGUCCUUGUACACUUGUGUCACUACAGUUUUCAUUGAUGAGCAUGUGGCUUCAGCAGUCAGACUCUGUUUUGCAGCGUUGUUAGACUCUGUUUUGCAGCGUUGUUAGACUCUGUUUUGUAGCGUUGUAAGACUCUGUUUUGCAGCGUUGUUAGACUCUGUUUUGCAGCGUUGUUAGACUCUGUUUUGCAGCGUUGUUAGACUCUGUUUUGCAGCGUUGUUAGAAGCUAGUGUAGACUUCAAGCUGAACAGAAGUUGGCGUGAACAUAGUCUAUAUUAAUCAUGUCGUCAUCGGAGAGCGAGAUCACUGAGUCCUGUGUCAGCGGGGGCCCUCAUGCACGGCUCUGUGUUGUUUUUGGUCGUAGCGUGAAGCAUAAAAUUCAUUGAGUUGAUCUGGUAGAGGGGCGUCGUUGGGCAGACCACAGCUGGGUCUUCCUUUUAGAAUCUGUAAUGGACUGAGAGCCCUGCCACAUGCGGAGCCUAUGUAAUAUGAGUCCAGCUUGUUUGAUGGCUCUGAGGAGGUCGUAGCGGGACUCAGCCGUAGCCUCUGGGUUGGCUGCGAUAGCUCUGUGUAGUAGCCCUGUCCUUUAGUUAGCACCAACCUCUGUGUAAUCCUGGGCUUUUGAAUGGGGGACGCAGUGAACCUUCACUGUGGGGACAACGUCGGCGAUGCAUUUCCUUAUGAAGCCGGUGACUGAGGCCAGUCCAGUCAGCGCUAGCGAAGCAGUCUUGUAACAUAGUCUCGUUAGUCACUAGUUACCACAGCCACAAAGUCAUAAACCCCGCCUAUUUCUACAAUUUAUCUUCUUAAAAAGUGAUUUUUAACCUAACUGCUUAACCACACUGCGAACCUUUUGCCUAACCUUAAAUGAAUACCAAAAAUUAGUGAUAACCCAUUGCCUCCGAUACGAAGGACAAUUUCUCAACGGAACACGUCACGGGUACUUCCUGUUGAGCUUCUGAUUGUAGACAGGAAGCAGUAGUAUAGAGUCAUGAUCUGAUUUGACAAGGGAGGGCCUUGUAUUCUUGCUUGUGGUUAGAGUAACAGUGGUCUAGGACUGUAUCCACUCUAGUGGUGAAGGAGACAUGUUGAUUGAAGUUGGGCAUUACCUGUCUUAAAGAGAUUCCCCAGUACUUUUGUAUACUUUUUAGCCAGUAGUUCUGAAAGUAGCGCUCACAAGCCAAAAGUGGUCCCCGGAAAUUGCGUACUACUGCACAUACUGUAUGUGCAGAUCCAGUAUGCGCACCACUCUCUUUCUCGCUCCUCUGUGUUCAUCUUGCUGGCUGUUACUCAAAUGGUGGAAGGGUCGGCAUUUAACCAUCAGGUAUUCCAACACGGGUGAACUUUGGGUAGAGAUUUCCACUGUGCUAGAGUCAACACACCAUUUGCUGUUGAUGAAGAGGCAUACCCCUCCCCCUAUCGAUUUUCCUGAAUCCGAUGUCCUGUCUGCUUGGUGAAUGGAGAAAUUUAUCAAGUUGGAUAGCCAUGUGGGGGAUCUUGUCCAAAAGUCAUUUUUGAGAAAAGCAGAAAACAUAGCAGUUAUGAGAGUCCCGUUGAUAGCAAUUCCGUGAUCGGAGGUCAUGCAUUUUAUUAUUAAGUUACUGGUCAAAACAAUAGAAUGAAGAGAUGACCGGUUUUCCCUUUGCCUUAAUCUCGCCAGGAUCCCCCCUCUCCUGGCUCUGUAAUGCUGGCGUUUCCUCUGGGGUAGCUUGAAAAUUGGGUGGGAAUUAAACAGGGCAGAUGAGUCUCUGGUUGAAGCCAGAAUUGAGGUUAGUAACUGCCAAUAUGAUGUUCAGAAGUUAUUGUCGAUCAUAAGACAUGAUAGUAGAUACUAUUUUUUAUUUUAUUUUUUUUAAGAGAAAUGCCAAAAGAAUCACAGAAUAGCAAAGUUUGGUUCGAGCUCGCACGACGACAGCCAUACAGGAUGCCAUCUUAACUAGGGUUGCAAAAUUUUCAAUAAAUUCCUUGGAUUUCCCGAAAUCCGGGUUGGAGGAUUUAAAGAGAAUCCGGAGGGUAUAAGCUGGAAAUUCAGAAUCCUCCUACCAGGAUUUCUGGGAAAACAGGGACUUUUAUUGAAAGUUUUUGCAAAAUUCCAGGAAAUCUUCACACAGGUGAAGCCAGGUGAGGUCAUAGCAAGCAUUAAGCCCACAUGGCUGCGUCCCAAUAGUCUAAAGACGCCUCCUCUGCUUCAUCUACACACAGAUCUGAAACUAUAGGAUAGGUGGUAGAAAUAAUUAUGGUUGAUGCUUAUGAACAAUUUACUUCCACAGCUCAACCGCUUACAGAUCAGUGCAGAAUGAAGCUAGUCAAAACAAGACUUUCUUAUUGGACAAGUUCAUGAAGGUCCCUCCCUGUUUCGACCCGUUUGUUUCCGAUUGGUUCCUGAUGAGUAAACCCCAGGUUCACCCAGAAGUUCACAUAUAAUACAGGCCCAUAGAGGCCUGUGUAAGGACAUCAAUGCAUUUAAUACAGGAAGUAUAUUGUUAGUCUUCAAAGACAUUGACAAACAGUACACACACUUUGAACACAAUACACACGUAGAUCAUAGAGGUUAGGACUAUAGACCUUAGUGAUACAUGUCAUAGUACCACAGCAUAGAAACACUAAUACUCCCUAAGAGACGUCUGUUUUGAGGUUGUAAGAGCGGUUUGAAACUAGGAGAAGAACAAUAUUUUACAAAGGACAUUUGUGGAGUGUGUUAUCAGUAGUUGUGCAAUAAAUAAAAUGAGUCAUCUGUUUGCAUUCUUUAGGAAGUUUAAACAGAAAUGAAAUUUCUCAACUGACAAAUGAACCCAACAUAAUGUCAACAAGCAACAUACACAGGAAAUGACCUCAGCACGGAACAUUGUGAUUGUGUCUGUGUGAGUUUCUGUACGUGCAUGUGGUUUGUGUAACGAUUUUACCACAGAACCGGAGGCAAGAGGUGACGUGUUCAAUGGAAGCAGCAGACGCUAAAAAGAGGACACACGGGAAGGCAGGGUAGCGAGAGCAGCUCUCUCCUUAUUUAACAUCAACAGGAGGGACGUCAACAAAACCCCAGAACUAGAACAUGGCCGUUUAUUCAGUCAUUAUUCAUCACUCAGAACAAGUAUGACAGAAACGGACAUGGUUCCACACAGUCAAGGUGUAUACUCGGAACAAGUAUGACUUAACACAUGGUUCCACACAGUCAAGGUGUAUACUCAGAACAAGUAUGACAUAACACAUGGUUCCACACAGUCAAGGUGUAUCCUCAGAACAAGUAUGACAUAACACAUGGUUCCACACAGUCAAGGUGUAUCCUCAGAACAAGUAUGACAUAAAUAACACAUGGUUCCACACAGUCAAGGUGUAUACUCAGAACAAGUAUGACUAAAACACACAUGGUUCCACACAGUCAAGGUGUAUCCUCAGAACAAGUAUGACAUAAAUAACACAUGGUUCCACACAGUCAAGGUGUAUACUCAGAACAAGUAUGACAUAACACAUGGUUCCACACAGUCAAGGUGUAUACUCAGAACAAGUAUGACAUAAAUAACACAUGGUUCCACACAGUCAAGGUGUAUACUCAGAACAAGUAUGACUAAAACACACAUGGUUCCACACAGUCAAGGUGUAUCCUCAGAACAAGUAUGACUAAAACACACAUGGUUCCACACAGUCAAGGUGUAUACUCAGAACAAGUAUGACAUAAAUAACACAUGGUUCCACACAGUCAAGGUGUAUACUCAGAACAAGUAUGACAUAACACACGGUUCCACACAGUCAAGGUGUAUACUCAGAACAAGUAUGACAUAACACAUGGUUCCACACAGUCAAGGUGUAUACUCAGAACAAGUAUGACAUAAAUAACACAUGGUUCCACACAGUCAAGGUGUAUACUCAGAACAAGUAUGACUAAAACACACAUGGUUCCACACAGUCAAGGUGUAUCCUCAGAACAAGUAUGACUAAAACACACAUGGUUCCACACAGUCAAGGUGUAUACUCAGAACAAGUAUGACAUAACACAUGGUUCCACACAGUCAAGGUGUAUCCUCAGAACAAGUAUGACAUAAAUAACACAUGGUUCCACACAGUCAAGGUGUAUACUCAGAACAAGUAUGACAUAACACAUGGUUCCACACAGUCAAGGUGUAUACUCAGAACAAGUAUGACAUAAAUAACACAUGGUUCCACACAGUCAAGGUGUAUACUCAGAACAAGUAUGACUAAAACACACAUGGUUCCACACAGUCAAGGUGUAUCCUCAGAACAAGUAUGACUAAAACACACAUGGUUCCACACAGUCAAGGUGUAUACUCAGAACAAGUAUGACAUAACACAUGGUUCCACACAGUCAAGGUGUAUCCUCAGAACAAGUAUGACAUAAAUAACACAUGGUUCCACACAGUCAAGGUGUAUACUCGGAACAAGUAUGACUAAAACACACAUGGUUCCACACAGUCAAGGUGUAUACUCAGAACAAGUAUGACUAAAACACACAUGGUUCCACACAGUCAAGGUGUAUACUCAGAACAAGUAUGACAUAAAUAACACAUGGUUCCACACAGUCAAGGUGUAUCCUCAGAACAAGUAUGACAUAAAUAACACAUGGUUCCACACAGUCAAGGUGUAUACUCGGAACAAGUAUGACUAAAACACACAUGGUUCCACACAGUCAAGGUGUAUACUCAGAACAAGUAUGACUAAAACACACAUGGUUCCACACAGUCAAGGUGUAUACUCAGAACAAGUAUGACAUAAAUAACACAUGGUUCCACACAGUCAAGGUGUAUACUCAGAACAAAUAUGACAUAACACACGGUUCCACACAGUCAAGGUGUAUACUCAGAACAAGUAUGACAUAAAUAACACAUGGUUCCACACAGUCAAGGUGUAUACUCAGAACAAGUAUGACAUAAAUAACACAUGGUUCCACAGAGUCGUGCUUGGAAGUGCUCUGAUAACCAAAAUGAGUUUGGGAAAUAUUCUAAGGUACUGUAAGUCUUCAUGUCUCAUCUAUCUGAUGUGACCGAAGUGCAAAAUAAUCAGAACUGACUCCAAUGAAAUAGUCAGGAUCUAAACUUGAAUAAGAUUAUAAACAUAUCAUCUAUACUGAGCCACUGACAAGAACAAUAAACCUGGACUUUAAAUUCUG